rnacentral:rRNA from 1 species
UAGGGAAUCUUUCGCAAUGGGCGAAAGCCUGACGGAGCAACGCCGCGUGAGUGAUGAAGGUCUUCGGAUCGUAAAACUCUGUUUUUAGGGAAGAACAAAUGUGUAAGUAACUAUGCACGUCUUGACGGUACCUAAUCAGAAAGCCACGGCUAACUACGUGCCAGCAGCCGCGGUAAUACGUAGGUGGCAAGCGUUAUCCGGAAUUAUUGGGCGUAAAGCGCGCGUAGGCGGUUUUUUAAGUCUGAUGUGAAAGCCCACGGCUCAACCGUGGAGGGUCAUUGGAAACUGGAAGACUUGAGUGCAGAAGAGGAAAGUGGAAGUCCAUGUGGAGCGGUGAAAUGCGCAGAGAUAUGGAGGAACACCAGUGGCGAAGGCGACUUUCUGGUCUGUAACUGACGCUGAUGUGCGAAAGCGUGGGGAUCAAACAGG